GCUGGGCGUGGUGGUGCAUGUCUGUAAUCCCAGCUACUUGGGAGGCUGAGACAGGAGAAUUGCUUGAACCCAGGAGGUGGAGGUUGCAGUGACUGCACUCCAGCCUGGGUGACAGAGCAAGACUCUGUCUCAA
rnacentral:SRP_RNA from 1 species